rnacentral:rRNA from 1 species
AUUGAACGCUGGCGGCAGGCCUAACACAUGCAAGUCGAACGAGUGGCGGACGGGUGAGUAAUGUCUGGGAAACUGCCUGAUGGAGGGGGAUAACUACUGGAAACGGUAGCUAAUACCGCAUACCAUCGGAUGUGCCCAGAUGGGAUUAGCUAGUAGGUGGGGUAAAGGCUCACCUAGGCCACGAUCCCUAGCUGGUCUGAGAGGAUGACAAGACACACUGGAACUGAGACACGGUGCAGACUCCUACGUGAGGCAGCAGUGGGGAAUAGUGCACUAUGGGAGCAAGCCUGAUGCAGCGAUGCCGCGUGUAUGAAGAAGGGCUUCGGGUGGUAAAGUACUUUCAGCGGGGAGGCGUUACCCGCAGAAGAAGCGCCGGCUAACUCCGUGCCAGCCGCCGCGGUAAUUC